GUGGGGAAUUUUGGACAAUGGGCGCAAGCCUGAUCCAGCAAUGCCGCGUGCAGGAAGAAGGCCUUCGGGUUGUAAACUGCUUUUGUACGGAACGAAACGGUCCGGGUUAAUACCCUGGGCUAAUGACGGUACCGUAAGAAUAAGCACCGGCUAACUACGUGCCAGCAGCCGCGGUAAUACGUAGGGUGCAAGCGUUAAUCGGACUUACUGGGCGUAAAGCGUGCGCAGGCGGUUUUGUAAGACAGGCGUGAAAUCCCCGGGCUCAACCUGGGAAUUGCGCUUGUGACUGCAAGGCUGGAGUGCGGCAGAGGGGGAUGGAAUUCCGCGUGUAGCAGUGAAAUGCGUAGAUAUGCGGAGGAACACCGAUGGCGAAGGCAAUCCCCUGGGCCUGCACUGACGCUCAUGCACGAAAGCGUGGGGAGCAAACAGGAUUAGAAACCCGGGUAGUCC
rnacentral:rRNA from 1 species